UUUAAACUUGAUGUACUUGAGCAACAGACGAGUGUUUCGGAACAGAGCGGCGGUUUGUGCAUCGCUGACAGGAACAAGUCCGUGUGCUGUGGACACUACCUGCAUUCAUGAGAAAGUCUACACGGAUUUAAGUCCAAGUUCAAUCAGCUUGGCCUGAACCCACCUCCUGAACUGGAUGAUGAAAUGAAAUAGAAUCAGAUGAGUCAAGUUUCUCUGAGUCCUGCCGGGAGGAAGAGAUGAUGCUGAAUUAAAAAUAUGAUCAAAAGCAUUCUUUCCAAAGUAAAUACUGUGUUGUGCUGAAUCAUGCAUUAGUACAAGACAUAUAACAUUAAAGUAAAAGUAAGAUGCUUUAUUUGGUUUCAUUCACUACAAAAUAAUGUUACAAAUGGCAACAAAGUCCAGUGAGAUACCGUCACACAAUUAUGAGUUGAACUUGUUCAUAAAUAUCACAAUUAUUUUUAACUGGUAAAAGUGAUAUUUAUCUUCAAAGAAUGAGGAUCAGAAUUUAGUGGUUUGAUUUGUGUUUCAACUUUAAAUAAUUGAACAUUAUGGCAACAUCAAAUUGAUGUUCCACCCAAUUAUGCUGUAAAAAUUAUGCCACGGUAUCUACUUUGGUAUCAAAACAAGAAAUGUUAAGGGAUGUGGAGCAGCAAAACAUUUUAACAUUUGAAGUCGUAACAAGACAAACCCAACAACUGUGAUCAAAACACAGAUGAAAGCACCAGACUUAUAAUAAAGAACCAUAACCGAGUUAAUAAAUAUCUGUUUACCAA